rnacentral:rRNA from 1 species
GAUGAACGCUGGCGGCGUGCCUAAUACAUGCAAGUCGAGCGAACUGAUUAGAAGCUUGCUUCUAUGACGUUAGCGGCGGACGGGUGAGUAACACGUGGGCAACCUGCCUGUAAGACUGGGAUAACUUCGGGAAACCGAAGCUAAUACCGGAUAGGAUCUUCUCCUUCAUGGGAGAUGAUUGAAAGAUGGUUUCGGCUAUCAAUUACAGAUGGGCCCGCGGUGCAUUAGCUAGUUGGUGAGGUAACGGAUCACCAAGGCAACGAUGCAUAGCCGACCUGAGAGGGUGAUCGGCCACACUGGGACUGAGACACGGCCCAGACUCCUACGGGAGGCAGCAGUAGGGAAUCUUCCGCAAUGGACGAAAGUCUGACGGAGCAACGCCGCGUGAGUGAUGAAGGCUUUCGGGUCGUAAAACUCUGUUGUUAGGGAAGAACAAGUACAAGAGUAACUGCUUGUACCUUGACGGUACCUAACCAGAACGCCACGGCUAACUACGUGCCAGCCGCCGCAGUAACAC